CUCCCAGGAAAUCAAAGAGGCCUUCUGUUCUAUCAGAUGACAAACAUCUCAUUUUCUUGGCACCAACUCAACAACAAGCAAAUGCCAGACUUCCAGACUUCGUAAAUGAACGAAUCCAAAACCUAGAAAAAUCCUUGCCAAGGCUAAAGAGGAGGUGGCUAGCUGGCACACUCUGCUACAAACAGCCCCUAGAUGACUGCAACCGAGGGCUUUAUGGAACAUGUUCUUCCUUCUUCACUUUUGGAUUCAGAUUCAGCAGAUGUCAACUGAAGCUCCUUGUCUGCCCUCCAAAACUGCUCACCCACAGUUCUGUUCACACUAGUAAAUUCUACCUCCGUUUUUCUGGUUGUAUCUUUGUCUUCAUCUGUUCUCACAGACCAUGGCCAAUCCAUUAACCAAUGCUGCUAAUGUUACCUUCAAACCCUGAACUUGGCAAUUCCUGCCACCAACUAUGGUUUCAGCAUUUGCACCUGUGAACUCAUUGUUAAAGACAAGCUCAAGCUAAUGAGCUGAUAAUAUUUGCAGCUUGGAUCAUUGAUAGCUGACCAUUUCUUUGUGGCUCUGCCCUUAUGGAUGGCUUACUUAACCCAUCAAUGGAUUGUUUAGUUGUUAGGGGAGUGGCUUUGUUAUGAAUGUGUCCUUCUGGAAAAUUUACUAUGUCAACAUGUGGCCUCCUCUGCCACAUCAUGACAUGAAGAAGCUAAAAGCUGGGAAUCGUUGGUGCCUUGGUAUUUCUACAUCCAGAACUGUGAAUAAAUAAACUUUUAUGUGGCAUAAAUUA